rnacentral:tRNA from 1 species
GGGCCGGUAGCUGAGAUGGUGUAGCGGCGGUUUGAAGCACCGCAGAGGAGGAUUCGAGCGCCUCCCGGCCCA